CUCUCCCCCUGGCUAAUUUCAUGAGCAGGAGCCAGUGUGGAGCUGCGGACGGGGCUCAGCAGCUUUCUCUUCUGAGCAGCCCCUCGGUCCGGCUCAGUUCUGUGCCAGUUCACGUGGGCUUUGCAUGGCUUCACUGAGGCAGGAAGUGCUUUGAUUCCCACUGUGGACCUUCUAGGACAUGGGGCUGCCGCUCCACCCCACAGCCUUGGCCCAUUGAGGUGGCUGUUUUAUUAUUUUUCUGAUUAUUAAAAUAUAGCACUCUUCAAUCCCUCACGCUAUGCUGGCAAGAUCAUAAAAGAAAAAGCCACAGGCCCUGCCCUGCAGGAGCCCUCGUGCGUGUGUUUAGGCCUCAGCUUGGUCCUCUCCUUCCAGGGUGGGGCCCGAUGGAGGCUGUGUCCAGGGUAGGGCUCGGUUCUCCCGCGUCCUGAGCAGGAGCCAGACCACAGGGAGGGGCAGUGCUCUUGCUUCUGCCCAGCAGAGGGCACCUCUGAUGACUUCCCUUCACUGGAAACCUGUGGGAAGAAGCCUUGGGGAGGAGGAAAGGAGAGUCAGAUAAGGGACUAAGAGAGCAUGGAGGGAGACCAGGGCCUGGCUCAAGCACGAGGAAGUGAUUCACCCAGAGAAGAUCAAGAGCUGACUGCAGGGCUCAGUGGUCUCUGAGAGGGACUAUGAGAGCCUCGUCAUGAUGCGAAUGCGCCAGGCAGCUGAGCGGCAACAGCUGAUCACCCAAAUACAGCAGGAAGACGAGGGGCAGCCCACGUAGCCCCCUGCCUCUGGCCUGCCCUCCCACAGCCCGUUCUCAAACAUCACUAAUAAACAUUUUUUUAAAGAG